AUUACAAAAAUACACAAAGCUUUUUCGAGUUCAUAAGGAUAUCUCUUUUCAAGUCGAGUUUGAUUAUAGAAUCAUGAAUUCAUUGUUCACUAUGUUUGAUUCCUUUUGUGCAGAGAUUAUGAGGAACAAAUUUACAUCUAAGUCACCUUCUCAUGGAUCAUCUGCUUCUUCCUCUGGUGUUCAAGCCGUGUCGAUUGAGAAGACACCAAAGAAGGUCCUGGUGGAGAAAGUACUGAGGUUUGCGCCGGAGUUUGACGGGCUUCAUUGCUUCGAAACCAUAGUUCCUUCUUGAUUAUUCCACUACGAUUUUCCUUUUUUUUUUUUUUUUUGAUAGAUUUUGUCAUGAAAUAGUUACGAAAGUGUUGCUUAAAUACAAACAUGAAUAAUUAUAUGGAUUGGAUUAUGUCACAAGUUUCUUUAUUUGCUCCUAGUCUUCGUUGUUUUUUUAAAAUUUCAUAUUGGUGAUGAUGUUCUUCCGAAUUAUAAUUUUAUUCUCUUUUUAUGC